UCAAGCGAACAAGUGCAUGUGGUGGAUGCCUUGGCGAUCACAGGCGAUGAAGGACGCGGUAGCCUGCGAAAAGCUUCGGGGAGCUGGCAAACAAGCUUUGAUCCGGAGAUGUCCGAAUGGGGAAACCCGGCCCGUAUGGGUCAUCCCUUGCUGAAUACAUAGGCAAGGGAAGCGAACGCGGCGAACUGAAACAUCUAAGUAGCUGCAGGAACAGAAAUCAACCGAGAUUCCCAAAGUAGUGGCGAACGAAAUGGGAAGAGCCUUGUACUCUUUAGCAGUGGUGUUAGCAGAACGGGAUGGAAAGCCCGGCCAUAGCAGGUGAUAGCCCUGUAUGCGAAAACACGAUUGUGGAACUAGGUGUACGACAAGUAGGGCGGGACACGUGAAAUCCUGUCUGAAGAUGGGGGGACCAUCCUCCAAGGCUAAAUACUCGUGAUCGACCGAUAGUGAACCAGUACCGUGAGGGAAAGGCGAAAAGAACCCCGGGAGGGGAGUGAAAUAGAUCCUGAAACCGCAUGCAUACAAACAGUCGGAGCCCUUUCGGGGGUGACGGCGUACCUUUUGUAUAAUGGGUCAGCGACUUACAUUCAGUGGCAAGCUUAACCGAUUAGGGAAGGCGUAGCGAAAGCGAGUCCGAACAGGGCGUUGAGUCGCUGGGUGUAGACCCGAAACCAGAUGAUCUAUCCAUGGCCAGGUUGAAGGUGCGGUAACACGUACUGGAGGACCGAACCCACUAACGUUGAAAAGUUAGGGGAUGAGCUGUGGAUAGGGGUGAAAGGCUAAACAAAUCUGGAAAUAGCUGGUUCUCUCCGAAAACUAUUUAGGUAGUGCCUCGUGUCUCACCUUCGGGGUAGAGCACUGUCAUGGUUGGGGGGUCUAUUGCUGAUUACCCCGCCAUAGCAAACUCCGAAUACCGAAGAGUGCAAUCACGGGAGACAGACAUCGGGUGCUAACGUCCGGUGUCAAGAGGGAAACAACCCAGACCGCCAGCUAAGGUCCCCAAGAUUGGCUAAGUGGGAAACGAAGUGGGAAGGCUAAAACAGUCAGGAGGUUGGCUUAGAAGCAGCCACCCUUUAAAGAAAGCGUAAUAGCUCACUGAUCGAGUCGUCCUGCGCGGAAGAUGUAACGGGGCUAAGCCAGUCACCGAAGCUGCGGACGCACGCAAGUGCGUGGUAGGAGAGCGUUCUGUAAGCCUGUGAAGGUGUCUUGUAAAGGAUGCUGGAGGUAUCAGAAGUGCGAAUGCUGACAUGAGUAGCGAUAAAGGGGGUGAAAGGCCCCCUCGCCGUAAGCCCAAGGUUUCCUACGCAACGUUCAUCGGCGUAGGGUGAGUCGGCCCCUAAGGCGAGGCAGAGAUGCGUAGCUGAUGGGAAGCAGGUUAAUAUUCCUGCACCGUCGUAUGAUGCGAUGGGGGGACGGAUCGCGGAAGGUUGUCCGGGUGUUGGAAGUCCCGGUCCCUGCAUUGGAGAAGGCGCUCAGGCAAAUCCGGGCGCGGAAUUCAAGGAUGUGGGGCGAGCGGCCUAGUGCUGCGAAGCAAUUGGAAGUGGUUCCAAGAAAAGCCUCUAAGCUUCAGUCAUACGAGACCGUACCGCAAACCGACACAGGUGGGCGAGAUGAGUAUUCUAAGGCGCUUGAGAGAACUCGGGAGAAGGAACUCGGCAAAUUGGUACCGUAACUUCGGGAUAAGGUACGCCCUGGUAGCUUGACUGGCCUGCGCCAGAAGGGUGAAGGGGUUGCAAUAAAAUGGUGGCUGCGACUGUUUAAUAAAAACACAGCACUCUGCAAACACGAAAGUGGACGUAUAGGGUGUGACGCCUGCCCGGUGCCGGAAGAUUAAAUGAUGGGGUGCAAGCUCUUGAUUGAAGUCCCGGUAAACGGCGGCCGUAACUAUAACGGUCCUAAGGUAGCGAAAUUCCUUGUCGGGUAAGUUCCGACCUGCACGAAUGGCGUAACGAUGGCCACACUGUCUCCUCCCGAGACUCAGCGAAGUUGAAGUGUUUGUGAUGAUGCAAUCUCCCCGCGGCUAGACGGAAAGACCCCAUGAACCUUUACUGUAGCUUUGCAUUGGACUUUGAACCGAUCUGUGUAGGAUAGGUGGGAGGCUUUGAAGCGUGGACGCUAGUUCACGUGGAGCCGUCCUUGAAAUACCACCCUGGUUUGUUUGAGGUUCUAACCUUGGCCCGUGAAUCCGGGUCGGGGACAGUGCAUGGUAGGCAGUUUGACUGGGGCGGUCUCCUCCCAAAGUGUAACGGAGGAGUUCGAAGGUACGCUUGGUACGGUCGGACAUCGUACCUAAAGUGCAAUGGCAAAAGCGUGCUUAACUGCGAGACCGACAAGUCGAGCAGGUGCGAAAGCAGGACAUAGUGAUCCGGUGGUUCUGAAUGGAAGGGCCAUCGCUCAACGGAUAAAAGGUACUCUGGGGAUAACAGGCUGAUACCGCCCAAGAGUUCAUAUCGACGGCGGUGUUUGGCACCUCGAUGUCGGCUCAUCUCAUCCUGGGGCUGUAGCCGGUCCCAAGGGUAUGGCUGUUCGCCAUUUAAAGAGGUACGUGAGCUGGGUUUAAAACGUCGUGAGACAGUUUGGUCCCUAUCUGCCGUGGGCGUUGGAAUCUUGACGGGGGCUGCUCCUAGUACGAGAGGACCGGAGUGGACGUACCGCUGGUGUACCUGUUGUCUCGCCAGAGGCAUCGCAGGGUAGCUAUGUACGGAAGAGAUAACCGCUGAAAGCAUCUAAGCGGGAAACUCGCCUGAAGAUGAGGAUUCCCUGGAGGCUUGACCUCCUUGAAGGGUCGUUCGAGACCAGGACGUUGAUAGGCUGGGUGUGGAAGCGCAGUAAUGCGUUAAGCUAACCAGUACUAAUUGCCCGUAAGGCUUGAUCCU
rnacentral:rRNA from 1 species